CAAGCAAAGAGUGGAACCUUUGUUCAGUUUGUCCACUGAUGUCUUCCGGGUGCCUGGAACAGUGCCUGGUAACUGGCAAUUCUUAGGGGAGGCAGAGUCCUUCCGGAGUUUGACCCUUGGAUUCCAUCCAGAGCAGCCUCCAAAAUGACACCUUUGAAGUUGUGUAUCGAGCUGGGAGAUGUAAAGGGAGGAGAAGAAAGAAGAUGAAGAGACACCAGCCAGCCUUGAGUGGACAUCCUGCCUGGUGAAACUGAACGAGACACUGACCGCAUGACUAGCGACUGACCUGGGGCAGAGAGAGCAACGCAUCCUGUGUUGUCCCAGACAUACGGAAUUGUUUGGGCAAACGUAGGAAUGUUACCAAGAGGCAAAUUUUGGCUCAGUUCAAGGAAGAACUUUGAAAGCAAUUGCAGAUGUUUAACCCAUGAAAGAGGUGGUGAAGGAAUUCGAGUUCCCAGAGGCCUCAAGCAGAAUGUGGACUUAGCAGGACUCCUGCAGAAGGAAGCCAGGUUCUAGGGGGUUGUCAUCAUAGAUUUCUGUGGUUCCAUGAGUCCUGGGAGAGGGGCUCCUUGGCUGCCCUGCAGUGGUACUCCUCCCUCAGAGCCUGGAGCCUAGCUUGUAUUGCUGUGUACGGCACCCAGGCGGACUUGGGAUGCUUGAAAUGAGCAGUCUGCGAAGGUAAGAUGUGAACACACGAAUAUCCUCAUUAAGUCCCAAAUACACAUCCCAAACUUUACAUAACAGGAGCAGCAGCUGGAGACGCCCACAGCCCUAAUUGCUUUUCUGUACUAAGAGAACGUCUUCUCUUCAGCUCUGCUUCUCCCAUUCAUUUAGGUAAUUACUGGAGGGAGCCAGCUGCGGGAGGCUGGCGGGCAGGCAGGCGCAUUUGUAACACCACCUAAUGGGUGCCGCCAUGAGGAUGGGGUGCCGCGGGAGCUGGAGCCUGUCUGUGCUCUUCAUGGGGAGUGGGGUGCUGAGGAUGGGAGGCCAGCUGCUCGGCUUCAGUCCUGAUCUCAAUGGGCCCAAACUGAGCUGCCGGGAUGGAAUGCCUGUCCUCCCAGGGACUUGACAAGCACGAUUCCAAGAAAGGACAGAUCCAGAGCCAGGUACAGGCAUGGGGAAGGGAAUGCAUGGAAGAAUCGACUCUGCUCAACAAAUUGCUCAAGAUGCUUUCUCUGAAUCUCAUGCUGGGCUGGGGCACUGAGGCCGAUCAAUCAGGAAGAGCCUACUCUCUAAGCUCACAGGCCAGGGGAGGAAGCAGUCACGGACCAGAAAGGGCUGGGAUCAAAGGAAGCUAUCGGACUGGGGUGUACAGAGGACACAGAGACUGACUCUGUCUUGGUGACAGGGGAUCUGGGAAGAUGUCUUGGAAUAAGACAUAGUAGGAUUGGGCCUUGGAAGUGUGCAUGACCCUGCAGUUGGUGAUCCCUUCUGCAAAAUGGGGCCAAGGUAAACUUCCAGGCCCCAAAGUGACAUCUGGUUUGUCCCCUUCCUUCCUGGUCCUUAGUAACCACCUGGAAAUCAUGAGGAUCCUCUUGCGGUUUCUUUGCAGCUGGAGCCAGCCUGGAACCUGGGUCCUUGGUGGUUGGCCAGGGUGGGUGCCCUGGAAGAGUCAGUUUUGAGCCUGUCUUCGGAGGGGCCCUGGGAGGGCUGUGGCCUAAGCGCUCUGCCCACCAGGCUUCCUGUGGGUGGCAAGUGAAACUUUUCCUCUUGGUUCUCUCCCAGAAGCCAGCUUCAUUCCCCCAGCCCCAAGUGGCGGCUCCUUGGGCCGGAAACAAUGUGCUUUCUCCACGCCUUAGAGUGGAAGUCAGCAGUUUGGCACCGUCUGGCUGGCAGCCUCCACCGGCUUCCUUUGGCACUUUAUUGGCAAAGGCGGUGACAUUUCUUUCAGUUGGGUGGGUGGAGCUGUUAUGCAAACUCCCGCUCUCCUCAUUCGCCAGAUGAAUAUUCAUGACUCAGGCAAUCUGUAGCAGCCAGACUUUCCUGAGGGCGGCAGCUUUUCUUCUCUUCCUCUCUCUCUUUUUCUUUCUCCUUCUCUCCUUCCCAGCUCUUUGGAAAGCUGAAGUGCAGCUAUAUUUAAUUUACAAAUACAGAGCCAUUUAGCUUGCCUUUUGAGAUGCAGGCACUGGGGAGGAGGUGCUGGGGAAUGGGAACAGUGGUUGAGGAGUUUGGUCCUGACCCUGUGCCUCUAAGCUCCGGGGUCCAGCCCCUGGGCCCUAGAUCCUGGGAAGCUUCGGGAGUCUGGAGCUUCUUGGAGCUUGGCCUCUUGGGGCCCUCAGGGCUGCAGGUACAGCAGCUCACGCCACCCCAUUCCACACUGGCCUCUGAGGUCAACAUGGAAAUUCUCAGGCAAUGAUGUUUUCCUGCCCAAUUCAUGACCCGGGACCCACCGAUACAUCUGUUACUGCUUCUCCCCCUCUGCUCUCCCGUUUGUCAAGGCCCACCCAGACCCUGCUCCAAGCUCUAGGUGGAAGCCCAGAAGGCACUGGAGCAUUUGCUAGUCAUUGGCUUUCCAGGGAGAGAAACAGUCCUUAUUUGGGGUCCAAUUCCUUGGGGCCACAUUACUCCCUUUCUAGGAAGGACAGGUCCCUAGCUUCCUUUGUCUCUUCCCAAAGAGGCACCCAGAACUCUGGCAGAGGGGUCAGAAUUACCAGGAUUUGCCAGGAAAUGUGGUCUUAGCGAGGAUGUGCUUGCGUGAGCACGUCUUGUGUGUGUGUAUGUAAAUAUUUACGCACAGCUUAAGUGAGUCUGUGUGCCUACAUCUAUGUUCAAGUGUCUGAGUGUGUGUCUGUAUGUGUAAGGGCGUGAAUGUGUGUGUCGCAGGAAGUCUGGGAAUGCUUGCAUAUGUGCGAAUGUGCCUCUCCAGUUAGCGUUGCGUGUGUACCUCUGGGGGGGCUGGGGGUAUCGUGUGUAAAUAAGGGUGUUUCUGGGGGGCCCAGACGUGUGUGUGCGACUGUGUAUGUAUAUUAAGUGAAUUGUAGGUGUGUGUAAAAUGAGAGUCUGGAGGAGAGAGAGAGAGAAUGUGCGUGUGCAUGUGUGUGUGUGUGUGUUAGGGUGUGUUUUCCUGACCUCCAUUUCCUCCCAAACCUUUUCCUCUCCAGGAAGGUGGAGGGGGACGUUUCCCCCUUUGCAAGUGUUACAGAUUCUAUCCAAGGACGUGAACAGAAGGUUUCCCAGCACAGAGCGUCCUGAAAUUACUUUAUAUUCCCCCCCUCCUUGUUUCAUCUAAUCAAAAUAGCAGCAUUAGGCUCACCCAUUCUCCCUGCCCACCCCUCAGCCCUGGGGGAGGGAGCGAGGUGGGCCAUCUUGCCUGACCCCCUUUGAGAGCACCUUGCAGGCCUGAGCCAAGGAGCUGUCUCCCAAAUCUCCUCUUUCCUCGGCGGCCCAUGCUUCAGUGGCAAGAGCCAGCUGCCUCCCUGCCUGCCAGCAACUGCCAAGCUCUUCCAGAACCCACAUCUAGGCCCGGCCUCAUUUACAAAUAUGCAAAUUUGCAUCUUUUCUGGUAUGCAAAUGGAGACAUGACAAAUAACUAAUUAGGGUCAAAAGAAGCACUCUGAACCAAUUAGUUGUAGGGUCUGUCCCUUUCUCCUGGGAGAAGACUGGGCCUUCCUGCUCCCUUCCCAGCACUGACUCCCAAAUGCCCACAUACUCUGGCAUCCUGUCUGGCUGGGGCCCUGACUGUGAAGAGCAUUGAAACAGAAGUCAGUGCAUGGGCCUCCGUCUUAACUCUGACCUAUCCAUGUGACCCCGGACUCACUUGCCUGAGUCUCAGUCUGUUCCUCUGUGAAAUGGAGCAAUGACAGUGACUAUCUUGUCCCUAACCAUCCACCCCAGCAUAGGGAGACUUGGGAGAACUUGGAUGUAAAUAGCCUUUGAAAACUGUACUACAGGCCGGGCGUGGUGGCUCACACCUGUAAUCCUAGCACUCUGGGAGGCUGAGGCAGGUGGAUCA